CACUGUACAACAGCCAGUCCCGUGAUGUUUAGACAUAUUUCUAUACUUUUCUUCUCUCUUCCAUUCAAUGAAAGGAACGGUUGGACAGAAAAAUGAGCUAUUAUUUAAUACUAGUUUACAGCGGGAGUUAUUUGUCUUAUUUUUCCCUGUGCCAGAAGGAAAAUGUGUCAGUUCUACAAUUGGACAAGGUCCUACCUUAUUAUCAUGGAUCUGUGAACAACUGUUUUAGACUCAAGAAGCCAUUCUUUUUUAGGACUGCAGAAGUCAGACUCAAGUUUUGCCAAAAACUUGGUAGGUGUGUUUUACAUCUCACCAUUCAAAUCAAACAUCGCAGCAAACAGAAGCCAUUCUAUGGAGAGGCAGCCAAAGACUAGCUGUAUAAAUCCUACUUUUGGGGAAUAUCAUUAGAAGGCAACACACUUCCAUGCUACCCUUUUGUAGAGAAGACACAGAAUGUUGAAACCAUUCUUUUAAUUCCAUUGGUCAUCUGUCAAAGUCCUCACACUUCUUUCAAGAUGAAAAAUGUCUCAUCUUUAUGAUGUUCUUUCCCUUUAGAAUGUGGCUACACAAAUAUCACACUUACUAAGAAGUUAGAGAAGCAAAAGG
rnacentral:lncRNA from 1 species